rnacentral:tRNA from 1 species
GCUUAUGUGCUUACGUGAUGGUCAUAAGGUCUGCUUUACACGCAGAAGGUCGCCGGUUCGAGCCCGGCUUGGGCC